UCAGGGCUUUUUGAUCCACAGCUUUUGAAGUGCUUCCAGACUGUACCUAAAGCUCAGCUCAGAUCUGUGAGAGAGGAGAGCAUUACCUGCUCUAGUGAAGCUGGAGGUGUGGUGCUGAGUGUUAAAGGCUUACACUGGAGAUCUGCACAGGGGCUCUGGCUUCUUCACCUGGCUCUGCUGCUGCACCAGCUGAAUGGUCCUGGGUAAGUGGUUUCAUUUCUCCAUACUUGGAUUUCUGUUUCUAAACAAGGAAUGAUAAUGCU
rnacentral:lncRNA from 1 species